UUAAUUAGGUGGAGGACAACAUUCCGGAUAGAAAUGCUAAUACCGCAUACGCCCUACCGGGGAAAGGCAGGGGGAUCUUUCGGACCUUGCGCUAUAGAUGGAGCCUAAGUCAGAUUUAGCUAGUUGGUGGGGGUAAGGCCUACCCAAGGCGACGAUCUGUAGCGGGUCUGAGAGGAUGAUCCGCCACACUGGGACUGAGACACGGGCCCAGACUCCUACGGGAGGCAGCAGUGGGGAAUAUUGGACAAUGGGCGCAAAGCCUGAUCCAGCCAUGCCGCGUGUGUGAAGAAGGCCUUUUGGUUGUAAAGCACUUUAAGCGAGGAGGAGGCUACUUGGAUUAAUACUCUAGGAUAGUGGACGUUACUCGCAGAAUAAGCACCGGCUAACUCUGUGCCAGCAGCCGCGGUAAUACAGAGGGUGCGAGCGUUAAUCGGAUUUACUGGGCGUAAAGCGUGCGUAGGCGGCUUUUUAAGUCGGAUGUGAAAUCCCUGAGCUUAACUUAGGAAUUGCAUUCGAUACUGGGAAGCUAGAGUAUGGGAGAGGAUGGUAGAAUUCCAGGUGUAGCGGUGAAAUGCGUAGAGAUCUGGAGGAAUACCGAUGGCGAAGGCAGCCAUCUGGCCUAAUACUGACGC
rnacentral:rRNA from 1 species